rnacentral:rRNA from 1 species
AGAUUAAGUUAUUAAGGGCGCACGGUGGAUGCCUUGGCACUAGAAGCCGAUGAAGGACGUUACUAACGACGAUAUGCUUUGGGGAGCUGUAAGUAAGCUUUGAUCCAGAGAUUUCCGAAUGGGGAAACCCAGCAUGAGUUAUGUCAUGUUAUCGAUAUGUGAAUACAUAGCAUAUCAGAAGGCACACCCGGAGAACUGAAACAUCUUAGUACCCGGAGGAAGAGAAAGAAAAUUCGAUUCCCUUAGUAGCGGCGAGCGAAACGGGAAGAGCCCAAACCAACAAGCUUGCUUGUUGGGGUUGUAGGACACUCUGUACGGAGUUACAAAGGACGACAUCAGACGAAUCAUCUGGAAAGAUGAAUCAAAGAAGGUAAUAAUCCUGUAGUCGAAAAUGUUGUCUCUCUUGAGUGGAUCCUGAGUACGACGGAGCACGUGAAAUUCCGUCGGAAUCUGGGAGGACCAUCUCCUAAGGCUAAAUACUCUCUAGUGACCGAUAGUGAACCAGUACCGUGAGGGAAAGGUGAAAAGCACCCCGGAAGGGGAGUGAAAUAGAACCUGAAACCGUGUGCUUACAAGUAGUCAGAGCCCGUUAAUGGGUGAUGGCGUGCCUUUUGUAGAAUGAACCGGCGAGUUACGAUUUGAUGCMAGGUUAAGCAGUAAAUGUGGAGCCGUAGCGAAAGCGAGUCUGAAUAGGGCGUUUAGUAUUUGGUCGUAGACCCGAAACCAGGUGAUCUACCCUUGGUCAGGUUGAAGUUCAGGUAACACUGAAUGGAGGACCGAACCGACUUACGUUGAAAAGUGAGCGGAUGAACUGAGGGUAGCG